GGCGGCGUGCUUAACACAUGCAAGUCGAGCGGAAAGGCCCUUCGGGGUACUCGAGCGGCGAACGGGUGAGUAACACGUGAGCAACCUGCCCCAGGCUUUGGGAUAACCCCGGGAAACCGGGGCUAAUACCGAAUAUGACCUCUGACCGCAUGGUUGGUGGUGGAAAGUUUUUCGGCUUGGGAUGGGCUCGCGGUCUAUCUGCUUGUUGGUGGGGUGAUGGCCUACCAAGGCGACGACGGGUAGCCGGCCUGAGAGGGCGACCGGCCACACUGGGACUGAGACACGGCCCAGACUCCUACGGGAGGCAGCAGUGGGGAAUAUUGCACAAUGGGCGGAAGCCUGAUGCAGCGACGCCGCGUGAGGGAUGACGGCCUUCGGGUUGUAAACCUCUUUCAGCAGGGACGAAGCGUAAGUGACGGUACCUGCAGAAGAAGCGCCGGCCAACUACGUGCCAGCAGCCGCGGUAAGACGUAGGGCGCGAGCGUUGUCCGGAUUUAUUGGGCGUAAAGAGCUCGUAGGCGGCUUGUCGCGUCGACCGUGAAAACUUGGGGCUCAACCCCAAGCCUGCGGUCGAUACGGGCAGGCUAGAGUUCGGUAGGGGAGACUGGAAUUCCUGGUGUAGCGGUGAAAUGCGCAGAUAUCAGGAGGAACACCGGUGGCGAAGGCGGGUCUCUGGGCCGAUACUGACGCUGAGGAGCGAAAGCGUGGGGAGCGAACAGGAUUAGAUACCCUGGUAGUCCACGCUGUAAACGUUGGGCGCUAGGUGUGGGGGGCCUCUCCGGUUCCCUGUGCCGCAGCUAACGCAUUAAGCGCCCCGCCUGGGGAGUACGGCCGC
rnacentral:rRNA from 1 species